GGCGCCGCCGCCGCCUCCGCCCGCGCCGGCCGGCCGGCACACCGACAGCCACACCGGCACACCGACAGACACACCGACACCCACACCGACGGCCCCCGAAGCCCGGUUGAAGCGGUGGAGGUGGCUCCAGAGAGCAGAGGCCGAGGCACCCACAGACCAGCGUAACCACGAAGGCACUGGAGGCUUUCCCUUACAAACAAGUAAACCUUGUUUCAAAUGCAGUCCCUUAUUUAUCUGCACUUCCUCUAGGAACAACCCCAAACCCUAGUGAACAGAUUCACAAAGCAUCUUUCUCCUGCCUGUGAAAUGUCACUGUUUUCACUGAAGCCAAGGAGCUGUUCUGUGCUGGUGACGUUGUGUACGUAUGAAAACGGAAACUUCUCAGGAUGUUCAGACUCUGAAACUGUGAGUCUGCAGAAUUCCCAACCAGUGCGGGUUUUUCCAGUCAUUGAAAUAAAAUCUACAUUGCUGUAAUUAGUUAAUAUUUGUAAAGCCCCUAAGAUUGCAGAAUAAAUGGCUGAAAGAAAUUCCCCUGGUUAUUAGAUAAAUGUGCUAAUAAUAACGGCGAUGGCUGGUGAGGACACAUCGCUGCUAAUGAUGUACAAUUAAUUUCCUUGAGGCUGUGCUAAUAAACAAAACCUGCUUUUCAAA